AGGGUUUUGAUCUAUGGGCUCAGAGCGAACGUUAGCGGCAGGCUUAACACAUGCAAGUCGAGCGAGAACGGUUCCUUCGGAGACCUAGUACAGCGGCGGACGGGUGAGUAACACGUGGGUAACCUGCCCUUCGGUGGAGGACAACCAUUCGAAAGAGUGGCUAAUACUGCAUACGUCCAUCAUCUCUGCGGAGGAGAUGGGGAAAGGCUUCGGCCGCCGAAGGAGGGGCCCGCGGGGCAUCAGCUUGAUGGUGGGGUAACGGCCUACCAUGGCUAGGACGCUUAGCUGGUCUGAGAGGAUGAUCAGCCACACUGGGACUGAGACACGGCCCAGACUCCUACGGGAGGCAGCAGUGGGGAAUAUUGGACAAUGGGCGAAAGCCUGAUCCAGCCCAUGCCGCGUGAGUGAUGAAGGCCUUCGGGUCGUAAAGCUCUGUGGAGGGGGACGAAAAAAAUGACGGUUACCCCUUUAGCAAGCACCGGCUAACUCCGUGCCAAGCAGCCCGCGGUAAUACGGAGGGGUGCAAACGUUGCUCGGAAUUAUUGGGCGUAAAGCGCCACGUUAGGCGGGUCCUAUAAGUCCGGAUGUGAAAGCCCUCGGCCUCACCCGAAGGAAGUGCAUUCGAAACUGUUAGGACUCGAGUUUCGGGAGAGGGUCACGGAAUUCCCGGGCGUAGAGGUGAAAUUCG
rnacentral:rRNA from 1 species